GAGUUUGAUCCUGGCUCAGGAUGAACGCUGGCGGCGUGCCUAAUACAUGCAAGUCGAGCGAACAGAUGAGAAGCUUGCUUCUCUGAUGUCAGCGGCGGACGGGUGAGUAACACGUGGGUAACCUACCUAUAAGACUGGGAUAACUCCGGGAAACCGGGGCUAAUACCGGAUAAUAUAUUGAACCGCAUGGUUCAAUGUUGAAAGACGGUUUCGGCUGUCACUUAUAGAUGGACCCGCGCCGUAUUAGCUAGUUGGUAAGGUAACGGCUUACCAAGGCAACGAUACGUAGCCGACCUGAGAGGGUGAUCGGCCACACUGGAACUGAGACACGGUCCAGACUCCUACGGGAGGCAGCAGUAGGGAAUCUUCCGCAAUGGGCGAAAGCCUGACGGAGCAACGCCGCGUGAGUGAUGAAGGUCUUAGGAUCGUAAAACUCUGUUGUUAGGGAAGAACAAAUUUGUUAGUAACUGAACAAGUCUUGA
rnacentral:rRNA from 1 species